rnacentral:sRNA from 1 species
AAUUUUAUAACCAUAGCCUGUAUAUCUCGUUACAGACAUUUCAACAAUUAAGAUCCUGGAUCUGUAGUUAACUCAAAAUCCUGUAACCGUGGAGAGAGAAUAAAUAGCCGAAUGAGAUGUCACUGAAGGCAGACCUUUACAAAAAUUGUGUGACGGAAGAGGAGGUGCGACCAGCCCAUGUUACUUGGCAAGAGGCAUAUAAAGAGUGUGAUCGAAAGUCAAACUUCAAAACAAAUUUACGCCAAUCCAAUGCAUCCCAAGAAGAUGUGCAGUAUACAUCCCAACGGUCCAGUCAAGCUAACACAAAAUGAGCUUAAGAAAAACAAGAGGCAGCGUUACGAUAUUGUAAAUGUUUAUUAAUGUUUCAAAGUCUAUUUUGAAAUUGUUUUAAAAUAAAGAUUUCUAAAUUGAAAUU